ACACCCCUAAGUGAAAAUGUCCAAAUUGGGCCCAAAGUGUCAAUAUUUUGUGUGGCCACCAUCAUUUUCCAGCACUGCCUUAACCCUCUUGGGCAUGGAGUUCACCAGAGCUUCACAGGUUGCCAAUGGAGUCCUCUUCCACUCCUCCAUGACGACAUCACGGAGCUGUUGGAUGUUAGAGACCUUGCACGCCUCCACCUUCCGUUUGAGGAUGUCCCACAGAAGCUCAAUAGGGUUUAGUUCUGGAGACAUGCUUGGCCAGUCCAUCACCUUUACCCUCAGCUUCUUUAGCAAGGCAGUGGUUUUCUUGGAGGUGUGUUUGGGGUCGUUAUCAUGUUGGAAUACUGCCCUGCGGCAGUCUCCGAAGGGAGGGGAUCAUGCUCUGCUUCAGUAUGUCACAGUACAUGUUGGCAAUCAUGGUUCCCUCAAUGAACUGUAGCUCCCCAGUGCCGGCAGCACUCAUGCAGCCCCAGACCAUGACACUCCCACCACCAUGCUUGACUGUAGGCAAGACACACUUGUCUUUCUACUCCUCACCUGGUUGCCGCCACACACGCUUGACACCAUCUGAACCAAAUAAGUUUAUAUUGGUCUCAUCAGACCACAGGACAUGGUUCCAGUAAUCCAUGUCCUUAGUCUACUUGUCUUCAGCAAACUGUUUGCGGGCUUUCUUGUGCAUCAUCUUUAGAAGAGGCUUCCUUCUGGGACGACAGCCAUGCAGACCAAUUUGAUGCAGUGGACGGCGUAUGGUCUGAGCACUGACAGGCUGACCCCCCACCCCUUCAACCUCUGCAGCAAUGCUGGCAGCACUCAUACGUCUAUUUCCCAAAGACAACCUCUGGAUAUGACGCUGAGCACAUGCACUCAACUUCUUUGGUCGACCAUGGCGAGGCCUGUUCUGAGUGGAACCUGUCCAGUUAAACCGCUAUAUGGUCUUGGCCACUGUGCUGCAGCUCAAUUUCAGGGUCUUGGCAAUCUUCUUAUAGCCCAGGCCAUCUUUAUGUAGAGCAACAAUUCUUUUUUUCAGAUCCUCAGAGAGUUCUUUGCCAUGAGGUGCCAUGUUGAACUUCCAGUGACCAGUCAGUAUGAGGGAGUGUGAGAGCGAUGAUACCAAAUUUAACACACCUGCUCCCCAUUCACACCUGAGACCUUGUAACACUAACGAGUCACAUGACACCGGGGAGGGAAAUGGCUAAUUGGGCCCAAUUUGGACAUUUUCACUUAGGGGUGUACUCACUUUUGUUGCCAGCGGUUUAGACAUUAAUGGCUGUGUGUUGAGUUAUUGAGGGGACAGCAAAUUUACACUGUUAUACAAGCUGUACACUCACUACCUUACAUUGUAGCAAAGUGUCAUUUCUUCAGUGUCACAUGAAAAGAUAUACUCAAAUUAUAUACAAAAAUGUGAGGGCUGUACUCACUUUUGUGAUAUACUGUACAGACAGAGCACACAAGCACACUAUAGGCUCUGGUACUCAAUUGGAAUAGAACUGUUUGAUGUUUACUCAAGUCUAUUUUUGGAAACAUGGCUGAUGUUUGUUUUGGAUCAUUUUCUUUCUAUCUCUCUCUCAGAUUACUCCAUCUUCUCUGUGGGCCAACAGGGGGUUGCACAGCCCCCUCCAGCCCAGCAGAAUAAGACAACCUCCCCUCGCAAAGAUGUCUCUAUAUUUGCAGCUGGGAAAAAUCGUUUGGCUAAAGCCUUGAAACCCCUUGUGUGCAAAAAAAAAAAUGAAGGCAGAAUGCAUUCUUCAAGCAAUAUAAAAUAAUAAAAUAAUUUUAGCAUCAAG